AGACUAAACUCACGUCGAGAGAGUGAGUGGGAUUUGCCCGGGCCUUCCAUUUAUAACUGUAUCAGCUAUUUAUGGGUGUCUCAACUGGUUUGCCAGUAUAGAAACCAUUCAUCAAAGCCUCCGGGUUUGUACAAUGUGUCUGUGUGUGAUGCAACUGUCACCUGGAGGUCACUGACACUCUCUAAUCGAGUCGGAAUUAGUCGGCACAGACUUUCUUUUAAAUCUAUCUGUAAAGUUUGUAAAUCUGUAAAGAGAAUACAAAGUGAAUCUGGCAACAAGUACCUCGCAGUCUGUGGAGGUUUGAAUUCCUCGCAGAAUUCCUCUUCGAAUAACCUAUAAAUAUGAAUUCUCAUCUCUUCUAGUCUGUCUCCGCAAUACUAUGCGCCUCUUUCCUCUCACCAGGGAGAAAGGCGGAGACAGGAAGGAAAAGAGAGAGAGGAAAACGUCGAAAAUGGGGAGUGGUUAGUGACCAGACAAUAGGAAGAUGGUGCAAAUAAACAAGAUGAAACAGACCAGUGAUUGGCAUGACCGUCCACGCGACGUACAGGUGAUGGAGAUAUGGUCUGGGUGGAAGGAAGAUAAAAAGACCCCCCAACUCAACCUUAUCGCCCUCGACAGAUAACGUCGAUAAUCAUACUGCUAUCGAAUCCGAAGUCACAGCGAGAGACGGUGGCCAUUCCAUUACCGCUCGGACGGGUCUCACGCAGAAGGUGCUCCUGAAACGACACGGUCAAAGUGAUAUUAAUAGCGAAAAAUAGGUAACUAUGUGGGCAUCAGUGCUAUAUUUGAUCACCACGGUGCUCCUCGCGUAUGGACUGAGGCAUGUGCUGCUGCGCGAGGCGAGGAAGCUGCACGGCGUGUACAGCGAACCAGACGUAUGGUUCGUGUACUGGGUGCGCUGGCUGUUUAAGAUCGUAGAGGUGUGGGCGCUCCAAGUUUCUCGUCGGCGGAGAGUGAAUAACUAUGACAUCACGGGCUCCUCCUACGAGCUGUGCGGGAUCGAAGCCACGCCCUCGGAGAAGGAGCUCGAGCAGCCUAAGCCCCUUAUCACCGACAGGCAUGAGGACAGCAUGCUGUUCUGGGGCGCGGACGAGGCGGGGCGCGGCGUGGUGGCCCGGGUGGUGAGGCAGACCCAGCGACGCGCAUCCGUCCUCCUCUCCGUCGUGGACCAGACUGGCGACGUCUACACAUUGCCUAACCAGCCCGACUCGAACUUCGUCAACGUCACGGGCGGCGGGUGGAGGGGAGGCGGCCUAAGCUUGCAGUGCGUAGACCCCAUGCGCUGUUGGAGACUUAAAUUCAAUGGCUUGUUGAGGCGUGGACCACGAGAGGAGUACAUCACGGACGCCAAGGACGACACGGACGAUACCGAAGUGAUCCACGCCCGCCUCGACCUCCUCUGGCGUGCCGUGCGUCAUCCCGUCGACGUCUUCAACGACGCCAGCCCACUCCUGCUCGCCCACGCCCUCGCCAGGGAACCCGCCGCCUCCGUCAAGCUCUUUACAUCCCUGGAACGCGAUGGCUACGACCAGUGGGGAGCCCUUCACGGAUUGGUCGCCCUGAAGGACAACCCCGAGGAAUGGUACCUCAGGGGAUGUCGCCAGCACAGGUGGGGCAUAAGCGAGACUGUGGCCAACUUCUACCGGUCUGUAGACAUCUUCAGCUACUUGGACAACGGGGAGAUGUGUUCCCUCCAGGCUAUCUCCUACACGUCUGGGCUCUCACACUACGUGGUCGGUUAUGUACAGGAAGCUUCGGGGAGGUAUCGGCCUGUAACCUCUACCACGCUCAGCCUUCCUCAGUUGGCCGAAAAAGCCCCCAUCCCUAAGAACAUUCUGACGAAAUUUACAACCAGUUCCGGAAACUACGACUUGUGGCACAAACUCGGCCCUAAAAUCACCCAUUACACGGGAGAUCCUUGGUCGCUUUGUCACGUUCUGAACUUCAAUUCUGUAGCUAUUAAUCACUCUUUCGGCUAUGGCAUCACCCUUUUUUCUAACAGGUUUAAAGGCCUUUGUCCAGUGCCAGAAAGGGAAUGCUUGCCUGCGCUGGUUGAGCCCCGGGUGGAGAUCGACGAAGCAACGUCCCUUGUGUUGCCUCUCAUAGAUCAGCGGACACGUGCUACAUGUCUGACGGGAGGCAAGGCGUCCUCCCUAGCCUUCCUCAUGUCCCUCAAAGACAUUACUGAUGACGAAUAUGAGGUUCCCGAUGGUGUGGUGGUGACGGUGGCAGCUUGGAGGCAGCAGUUAAAGGCCUACCCGGAACUGCAGACAGCGGUGAGGGGCGUCGAGAAGGCCGUCGGAUGCUCGCAGCAGGCGCAGUUGAAGGAUGCUUGCGCCAGAGCUGUGGAGAUCUUCAAAUCUACGCCCGUCUGUCCAAAGGUGGAGGAGGCACUCAGGCAAACUCUCGAGGAAACAUUCGAACAAAACUGCCAGUCUCGCAGAUUCGCCGUGAGGUCGUCCGGAUGCAGCGAGGACGGUGAGGAGACUUCAGCCGCGGGCCAGAACGAGACCCAGUUGGGCGUCGUGGGCGUGGAGAACCUACUGCGUGCCCUAGCUGCGUGUUGGGCGUCCCUCUUCACCUUUCAGAGCGUCGAGUACCGCAGGCAGCAUGGACAGGCAGUGGAUGGCGGAAUGGGCGUUGUAGUACAAGAGAUGGUGGACGCAGACGCAGCAGGAGUUCUGUUCAGCCUCGACCCAGUCACCGGAAGCCCUGCCAGCAUUACCAUUACCGCUAACUAUGGGCUUGGCGAGAGCGUGGUGUCCGCAGCCGCAGAGCCCGACACGGUGACAGUGACAAGGUCAUGGCGAGACCAGUUGGCAAUGGCAUCCCGGACCGUCGGUGCCAAGAAGGUCAAGUGCGUCAUGAAAGAGGGCGGCGGUACCCUGGAGGAGGAAGUUCCGUCAGGAGAGCGGGAGCGCGUGUGCCUCUCGGACGCCCAGGCCCUGAAGCUGGCUCGCCUUGCGGUCUUCCUCGAGCGUGCCUUCGGGAGCCCCAGGGACGUAGAGUUCGCAGUGACCAAGGACGCUCUGUACCUCCUCCAAGCCCGGCCAAUCACGACGCUUGAAUCCUGGACUGACUUCGAAAUCCUUCAUGAGCAGGACUCGGCGCUCCUCACUGAUCACGAGCUCCUCACUAAGGCCAACGUUGGCGAAGUUCUCCAAGGAAGGAUUUCCCCCUUAACCCUGUCGAUCCUACCAUCCAUCCUCGACACGGUUUUCCAGAGAGAGAGCAUUCGAUCCAUCUGGCCGGCCAUUCCCUACGACCCACACCACGUGAAGCUCUGCCCGACGUUUGCUUCCCAGUUCUUCCUCAACAUGAUCGAGAUGCAAUACCAGCACAACCAAAGCAAUGAAGUAAACGCCACGAACCAGGCUAUUGACCUCGGUGUGCACGGGUACGAGGUCACGACGCCACAGUUCCUGGCCUGGGGUAUCGAGCGCUACGGAAUUAUGAAUAGGGCGACAUUUCUGCAAGUCAUGUUCAGCUUAAUUUACGACAAGUUCUCCAACGGCGGCCGAGUCAGAAAAUGCCGCCGGAUGUUCGGAGAUUACAACUUAGAUCAGGGAAGGAGGACCUUGUCUCCCGAGGCGCUUUAUACUGAAAUCACUCAUCAUCUCCCAGAUUUAGUUGAGGGCUGCCACAACCACGUCCUGACGAGCAAAUUCAGUUCCAGCAGCCAGUGCAUCGCCCUCCAGAUGCUAGCGGAGGACAACAAUGAGCUGAGCGAGGAUAACAGGUCCGACAUCGCCGUUCUCCUCUCCUCGUGCACCGGCAUCGAAUCAGCGGACGUCCCGACGGCGCUGAAGGCCUUAGCUCGCGUGAUCGCCGAGAACGAGGAGGUGGACGAAUUCCUCGGAAUGGCAGGGGACGAGGCUCAGGUGUGGCUGGAGAGCGACCCGGGCCUCGUCGGCACCGCCUUCAGGGCCUUCCUCGCCAAGCACGGACAUCGCUGCGUCAAGGAGCUCGACCUUCACUCUGUCUCCUGGGGAAUGGACCCUCACACGCUCGUCCAGACUCUGCAGUUACGUAAUCGAACAGGUGAUGGUGCGAAAUCCCAGUAGCUACACGAGUGUGAAGAAAGUGACUUCCAUUGACCAAGCUCUUGACAGCAUCCGAAGUCAGGUGAAGCCCAAGACCAGACGCUCGCUGAAGUUCGUGCUUCCCAUGUGCCGCGAGGCCGUCGUGAACCGCGAGGCCACGAAAUCUCUGAUAGUGAAGAUCCUCGACGGACUCCGGAAAGCGUACAG
rnacentral:misc_RNA from 1 species